GACGAACGCUGGCGGCGUGCUUAAUACAUGCAAGUCGAACGCAGUGGGGACGGGUGAGUAACACGUGGGUAACCUCCCAUCAGAGGGGAUAACACUUGGAUAAAGGUGCUAAACCGAUACUGAUGGAUGAACUAGCGGUGCAUUGGCUAGUUGGGGAGGUAACGGCUCACCAAGGCCACGAUGCAUAGGCGACCUGAGAGGUGGAUCGGCCACACUGGGACUGAGACACGGCCCGGACUCCUACGGGAGGCAGCAGUGGGUAAUCUUCGGCAAUGGACGAAAGUCGGACCGAGCAACGCCGCGUGAGUGAAGAAGGUUUUCGGAUCGUAAAACUCUGUUGUUGGAGAGGCGGUAUCUAACCAGAAAGCCACGGCUAACUACGUGCCAGCAGCCGCGGUAAUUC
rnacentral:rRNA from 1 species